ensembl:lncRNA
UUCCUGCAAGAAUCUCUUGUCAGUUACCAGUCCAGUCCUGCAUCUUGGGUCUUACCAGGCUCAGGUUUUCGUUACUCAUAUUUCUCUAUUUCUCUUACCUCAUAAAUGAAUCUUUCCAUUUCAGACCUAUCUUUGAGUCAAUAUCUCUUAAUGUCUUGAUCUGGGUUUUUUUUCCUUCCUUCUCCGAGGUGAUUGAACCCAGGUUCAGGAUCUCUUGCAUGGUAUUCAGUGACUUCCUGUGGCCACGGCUCCUCACUGCAGUCACCACCCAGCCUACUUCACACCCAUCAGAUCCUGCCAUGAAAAUCCCGAUCUCUCCAGACUCUCACUCCUUGAGGACUCUUCCAGGAGACAAAUGCUGAUUGCACACAUAAACUCCAGCCAAGUAUUUUUUUCAGAUUGCCAUACUUGAGGCUCCUAUAGAUGCAUUGUGCAAGAGAGAAAUCUUAGGAGCAACUAACAUCAUUGCCACAGACCAGCUGCAGUCGAUGUAAGGUAUGAGGCUGACUUGCUGUAAUCUACACUUUCUCAUCAGACUUGGCCACCCAACCCAUAUGAGAUAUGUCCUUUGCAUCUAUGGAGAAGGUUUUUCUCUGUUUUAAAGGGAGGAAUGAAAAGUAUCCAGCGCAUCAUAAUAAACAGAUAGCAAGGACUUCCUUUUCUAAAGAAAUUUGGAAACUUCAAAUCUCCUUUCUUACAGUUUUCAGUGAGACCUCAUUGUGAACUUUUUCUGAUGGAAAGAAGUAUUUUCAAGAACAUCAAGUGCUUUCAAGAAUAAUUAAGAAUUAUUCCAAAGUACAUUCUAAUGGCUAUUUUAGCAAUUUGAAACUUCA